rnacentral:rRNA from 1 species
CGGGAAAAGCUCAAAUUUGAAAUCUGGCGGUCUUUGGCCGUCCGAGUUGUAAUCUAGAGAAGUUGUCACCUGUGCAGGACCGUGUAAAAGUCUCCUGGAACGGAGCAUCGUAGAGGGUGACAAUCCCGUCUUUGACACGGACUCCCUGCAUGCUGUGGUGCGCUCUC